CCGCUUGCAGGUAAACAGAUGGACCCACGAAGUCCUGUUGAGUGAGAGAUUCAUAUUCUUCAAAAGGCAUGGCGAUCAGGAAUGUCCCCAGUGGAGUGAACUGUUUGUCAAUCAUUGUCGAUUGAAGGAUGCAUUUCUCUCACUCACGAAGGAGCUCUGACUGCUCUAACAGACUUGACUGCUUAUGGCCGCCUUAGAUUGUGGUUGAUUCCCCCGGUUUCAAAUCACUUUCAUAGGUGAAGUAAGUCAAGUCAAAUUGAGCAGUUGAAAUACUUACUUUUGUGAGUUUUCAGGUUGUCGGUAUUCACUUGACGCAGUCAAAGGUGAUAACAGUGAUGCUCUUUCGGCUCUCGUAGUUGAAGACAUUCUGUUAGUACACUCAUCUUUAAGUGCUGUGUCAAGUAGUAUCAGAUGAUAAUCCAGAGUAAGUAGGUCGGUCAUCCAUCUGACCCGUCUUGAAACACGGACCAAGGAGUCCAACAUUUGCGCGAGUCGCUCGGUCUUGCUUAGGCCUGAGAGGCGAAAUAAACAUAACGGUAUGAUCCUUCACUUACCUCUCGGGGUAGUAAGGCGCAAUACCAACCUGCUUAUUCUGCCUUUUGACAGAGAAGCGGAGUUUGAGCGUAAAUGUUGGUACCCGAAAGAUGGUGAACUAUACUUGGGCAAGACGAAGCCAGAGGAAACUCUGGUGGAGGUCUGUAGCGAUUCUGACGUGCAAAUCGAUCGUCAGACCUGAGUAUAGGGGCGAAAGACUAAUCGAACCAUCUAGUAGCUGGUUCCUUCCGAAGUUUCCCUCAGGAUAGCUGGCACUAAACUACUCUGUAGCAUCCGGUAAAGCGAAUGAUUAGAGGUAUUGGGAUCGAAACGAUCUCAACCUAUUCUCAAACUUUAAAUGGGUGCGAGAACAUGACUUGUUUGCUCUAAAGUCAUGCUUCGUAAGAGUAGUGCCAAGUGGGCCAUUUUUGGUAAGCAGAACUGGCGCUGUGGGAUGAACCAAACGCUGAGUUAAGGCACCAAAUGCUGACGCUCAUGAGACCCCAUGAAAGGUGUUGGUUGCUAUAGACAGC
rnacentral:rRNA from 1 species